GUUGUACGUGGUGAGAACGUUAGUACUACAGCACCGGCGCCACAUCCCUUAUCCUCAAUUGAUGUUAGACCUUCAGGUGCUAUUGCAAGUUUUCUUAAAAUGCUCGUUGACAUACCGUUGGCCCUAGUGGAAGCAUUUAGAGAUGGAGCUGAAGGCAUUGAAAAAAUUGUACUCGGCUCGCUUAGAACAUUUUUUUAAUCAGCACAAACAAAACCAGUAAAGGACAAGAAUAAUGGUUAAUAGACUUGAUUUUCACUGUUAACUUGUAAAAGUCUUGUAAAUCCAAAAUUAUUG